rnacentral:rRNA from 1 species
AUUGAACGCUGGCGGCAUGCUUUACACAUGCAAGUCGAACGGCAGCACGGGCUUCGGCCUGGUGGCGAGUGGCGAACGGGUGAGUAAUGCAUCGGAACGUGCCCAUUUGUGGGGGAUAACUACGCGAAAGCGUGGCUAAUACCGCAUACGCCCUGAGGGGGAAAGCGGGGGAUUCUUCGGAACCUCGCGCAAUUGGAGCGGCCGAUGUCAGAUUAGCUUGUUGGUGAGGUAAAGGCUCACCAAGGCGACGAUCUGUAGCGGGUCUGAGAGGAUGAUCCGCCACACUGGGACUGAGACACGGCCCAGACUCCUACGGGAGGCAGCAGUGGGGAAUUUUGGACAAUGGGGGCAACCCUGAUCCAGCCAUGCCGCGUGAGUGAUGAAGGCCCUCGGGUCGUAAAGCUCUGUGGAGAGGGACGAAAAACCUGGGGUCUAAUAGGCCCCGGACUUGACGGUACCUCUUUAGAAAGCACCGGCUAACUCUGUGCCAGCAGCCGCGGUAAA